rnacentral:sRNA from 1 species
GACCAAAUGAUGUAACCCCAUACUCCAACCUUGGCAGUUCGCUCUUGAAGUCCUUUUUUUUUGUUUUUUUUGGGUUUUGUUUUUGUUUUUUUGUUUUUGGUUUUUUUUUUUUUUUUUGAGGGGGCCCGGUCCUCCCCACCGCCAAGGGCACAUAUUAGGAUAAUGGAAGGAGUUCUGACCAUUGCUCUGCCGUUGGUCUAACGGAAAACGAUUGACAAAACGAGCUUUUUAAAACAAGCCACAUCAUGGCAUAUUUUGGCUUGGUUGGAGAGAAGGGGCGUUUAGCUGUAACUAUGGUGGGCGAAUGCCGCUUCCAGAGCAUUUUCAAGAUUUCAACUCAAGGCUUGAGGACAAUCACGCCAAGUUGCUGGAGCCCUCCAGCACCUUCAUACCCAAGGGAACUACAUAUAUGUUAGCCCUAUGUAUAGAGUAAAUAGGCCAAGGGCAAAAUGGGGCCUUUUCACCGACAACCCGCGCAAAUCAAACGGCAGGGAG